rnacentral:misc_RNA from 1 species
AAAGUCACUUCUGAAGGAGCGCCUUAGUGGAAAAUCGGCUGGAGGAUCUAGUGAGAAGUCUGAAAAUGAAUCGGUUGAAUUGAACUCCCGCAAUUUUGAUGAGUUGGUGCUUAAAAGUAAAGAACUUUGGAUUGUGGAGUUCUUUGCACCUUGGUGUGGACAUUGUAAAAAAUUAGCUCCUGAGUGGAAGAAGGCUGCUAAUAGCUUGAAGGGGAAGGUUAAGUUGGGUCACGUUGACUGUGAUGCUGAGAAGUCUCUGAUGAGCAGGUUCAAUGUUCAAGGAUUUCCCACCAUCUUGGUGUUUGGUGCUGAUAAAGAUACUCCAAUUCCUUAUGAAGGUGCCAGAACUGCCUCAGCAAUCGAAUCAUUUGCUCUGGAGCAGCUGGAAACCAAUGUUGCACCACCUGAAGUGACUGAGCUGACGGGCCCAGAUGUAUUGGAAGAGAAGUGUGGUUCUGCUGCUAUUUGUUUUGUUGCUUUCUUACCUGACAUUUUGGACUCCAAGGCAGAAGGAAGGAACAAGUACCUUGAGCAGCUGUUAUCAGUUGCUGAGAAGUUCAAAAGGAGUCCAUACAGCUAUGUUUGGGCGGCUGCAGGUAAGCAGCCAGAUCUUGAGAAGCGUGUAGGUGUUGGUGGAUAUGGGUAUCCAGCUUUGAUAGCCUUGAAUGUGAAGAAAGGAGCAUAUGCCCCACUCAAAAGUGCAUUUGAGCUUGAACAUAUUAUAGAGUUUGUGAAAGAAGCUGGGCUUGGUGGAAAGGGAAAUUUGGCUCUGGAGGGUACCCCAGAAAUAGUGAAAACCGAGCCAUGGGACGGCAAAGAUGGAGAGAUCAUUGAAGAGGAUGAGUUCUCUCUUGAAGAACUAAUGGGAGAAGAUGUUGGAAGUAAAGAUGAGUUAUGACAAGGCAAAUUAGUUGAGGAAGAGAAUGAAAAUCCAGGUUACAAACGAUUUUGAUAUUAUACGCAAUGUGUGGAUUGUUACUAAUGACAUUGUAUUUGGAUGACUUUUUUUUUUU